GGGCACGCUUGAGUGCGGUACGGGUAACUGGAAUUCCUGGUGUAGCGGUGGAAUGCGCAGAUAUCAGGAGGAACACCGGUGGCGAAGGCGGGUUACUGGGCCGUUACUGACGCUGAGGAGCGAGAGCGUGGGGAGCGAACAGGAUUAGAUACCCUGGU
rnacentral:rRNA from 1 species